rnacentral:rRNA from 1 species
GACGAACGCUGGCGGCGUGCUUAACACAUGCAAGUCGAACGGAAAGGCCUCUUUCGGGGGGUACUCGAGUGGCGAACGGGUGAGUAACACGUGAGUAACCUGCCCUUGACUUUGGGAUAACUUCAGGAAACUGGGGCUAAUACCGGAUAGGAGCUCCUGCUGCAUGGUGGGGGUUGGAAAGUUUCGGCGGUUGGGGAUGGACUCGCGGCUUUUCAGCUUGUUGGUGGGGUAGUGGCUUACCAAGGCUUUGACGGGUAGCCGGCCUGAGAGGGUGACCGGCCGCAUUGGGACUGAGAUACGGCCCAGACUCCUACGGGAGGCAGCAGUGGGGAAUAUUGCACAAUGGGUGGAAGCCUGAUGCAGCAACGCCGUGUGCGGGAUGACGGCCUUCGGGUUGUAAACCGCUUUCGCUCAUGACGAAGCUUUGUGUGACGGUAGUGGGUAAAGAAGCACCGGCUAACUACGUG